CCUACGGGAGGCAGCAGUGAGGAAUAUUGGUCAAUGGACGAGAGUCUGAACCAGCCAAGUAGCGUGAAGGAUGACUGCCCUAUGGGUUGUAAACUUCUUUUAUAUGGGAAUAAAAUGUUCCACGUGUGGGAUUUUGUAUGUACCAUAUGAAUAAGGAUCGGCUAACUCCGUGCCAGCAGCCGCGGUAAUACGGAGGAUCCGAGCGUUAUCCGGUUUUAUUGGGUUUAAAGGGAGCGUAGGUGGAUUGUUAAGUCAGUUGUGAAAGUUUGGGGCUCAACCGUAAAAUUGCAGUUGAAACUGGCAGUCUUGCGUACAGUAGAGGUGGGCGGAAUUCGUGGUGGAGCGGUGAAAUGCUUAGAUAUCACGAAGAACUCCGAUUGCGAAGGCAGUUCACUGGACUGCAACUGACACUGAGGCUCGAAAGUGUGGGUAUCAAACAGGAUUAGAUACCCCAGUAGUC
rnacentral:rRNA from 1 species